UUUCCCUCAGGAUAGCUGGCACUCGCUCGAACGAGUCUCAUCUGGUAAAGCGAAUGAUUAGAGGCCUUGGGGCCGAAACGACCUCAACCUAUUCUCAAACUUUAAAUGGGUGAGAUCUCUGGCUUGCUUGAACGUUGAAGCCACGAGAUAACAUUUAAGAAUGGAUCAGAGUGCCAAGUGGGCCAAUUUUGGUAAGCAGAACUGGCGCUGUGGGA
rnacentral:rRNA from 1 species